GUGAGCAGGGGAGGGGCGAAGGAGAGGAAGAGAGAGAAUCUUAAGUGGGCUCCAUGACCAGCAUGGAGCUGGUAGCAGGCUUGAGAUCAUGACCUGAGCCCAGAUCAAGAGUUGGAUCCUUAACUGAGUGAGCCACUCAGGAGCCCCAGGAAAUGUGGCUUUUUGGUCAUGCGUAUAUGUCAUCAAAUUCAACCUUUUUUUUCUGUUUUCGUUGUAGAGUGGCCUUUUGUACAGUGGCCAGUCAAGUUUAUAAAUUCCUUCUGCAUCAAGACCUGUGGAUGUUAGAAUGGACAGAUUGGUACCUUUUCUUUCAAAGAAGCCCCAAACAUGUCCUAAUGUGUUAAAUUUUCAUAACCUUUGGUUAGGGUUGGUGGCAGGGCACAUCACUCUUCCCUUCAGCUCCUCUCCAUCGCCUGGCUUUCCGUGCUGUCCUGGCUAAUGAACUCUGAGCACAAAAGACAUGUCACUUCCAGCCGAGGAUCGUAAUUAAGGAUCCAGAAAUUGAUGUUAAUCCAGAACUGCAUAGAGUCCUGUACCUAUGUAGGAACUUCUGAGUAAAUGGAAACUGUUCCUGUCUACAGAAAACAGAGGCAUGCAUUUUGUGAUUUUCUUAGCUACAGUGAAUGUCAGCUCUGACUUCAUUCUGGUGUCACACAUUGUCCAUACCAUCUCUGAAUCUUCUGAAAGGUGGAGAGCUUAGUGGCAAAUACUAUUAAUUUUGAUCUUAGUGGAAAAUACAGUUAGCCAGUGGUUGGUCAAGGGGUUCAACCCUGUAGUUUGGGAUUUUAUUUAAAGUUCUUUUUUUGGUCUUAUAUAAAAAAUGCUCAACUUAAGAACAUCCCGUUACGGGUUAUGCAGAAGCAUGACAAAAUGUACAGAGGUAUUGUGAAUUCUAAGGGAAGUUUCAUAUUAUGUAGUCUUGACAUAAGGGAAAAAAAUGUGGAUG